rnacentral:misc_RNA from 1 species
UGUUACUCCGGCAGAUUCAGUACUCUCGUCCACCGAUCGGGAGAUUUUUCUCUUCAUUACUUUGCGUCGUUCUUCUCACUCAUUGUUCCUCGCAUCGCAAAUACGCGGCUGAAAAAUCCAGGCCCGACGACGCGCUUCUUUUCUGAAGUAAUCUAACAAUAAGACCACUAAGAACAAUGAGCAAGAAGAAAGAUAUGGCAAUUGAUUUUCAAGACAAUAUGAUAUUACUCACACGAAAAUACUUAAAGCGUAAAAUAAUGUGCCCUGAAACAAAGUUCAGGCAUCAUGUCAAUGAACGGUUGCAUGUGCUGGAUUUAGUGAAACGUACUAUUGAGAUAGGCGAAAGCAAUUCUGCCUUGUUAGUUGGACCUAGAGGCAGCGGAAAAACAACGCUUGUUAACAGUGUCUUGAAGGAAUUGUCUGCUUUAAAAAGUUUUAAAGACAACGCGCUAAUAGUGAAUCUUCAUGGACUAGUACACACUGACGAUCGUUUGGCGCUUAAAGAUCUAACUCGUCAGAUGCAGUUGGAGAACGUUGUUGGCGACAAGGUUUUUGGCACAUUUGCAGAAAAUCUAAGCUUCCUUUUGGACUGUCUGAAAUCUGGUGACAAAAACCGCUCGAAACCGGUCGUCUUCGUACUCGACGAGUUUGAUCUGUUUUGUGGACAUCACAACCAAACAUUGUUAUACAAUCUGUUUGACGUUGCUCAAUCUGCACAGGUACCGAUUUGCGUAAUAGGGAUAAGUUGUAGAUUAGAUGUCAUGGAUCUGCUGGAGAAGCGAGUCAAGUCGAGAUUCUCGCAUCGUCAAAUAUUUUUAUUUCCCGGCGACACGUCGUCCUCGGAACAACCAAUGUCCGCGUUCGACGAUCGUCUGGAACUCUUUCGGGACCUCCUCAGCUUACCUGACGAUGAAAAUGUAAAUAAAGUGGAGCAGCAUUACGAUGAUUGUACAAUAGAUCCGCAAUUCGGUUCCAUGUGGAACGACUACAUUAAGAGUUUAAUCACCAAUGUUACGAUGGUGAAUUUACUCAAGAGGAUGUAUCAUAUUGAUGUGAGCGAGAGGAGCUUUAGAAAUUUUCUCGCGGUAGCUGUCUCGACGCUGUCGGAGAAGCAUCAGAAGUUGGAAGUGAAUGAUUUUGUAGAGGCGAGUAAAAUCUUUUCGGAGGACGAUAAAUUGUUGAUACUCGAGGGAUUGUCCAUUUUAGAAAUGUGUUUGAUAAUUGCAAUGAAACAUGAAACGGAGAUUUACGAUGGCGAGCCGUUGAAUUUUGAGGCGGUAUACAAUCGCUAUAUCAAGUUUGCAAACCAGAAUUCCUCUAUACAAUCUGUCCAGAAACCAGUUAUCAUGAAAGCUUUUGAGCAUAUCAAGAACUUGGAGAUCUUGCUGCCAGUUGGAAAUACGAAUACAAAGUUCGAAAAAGAAUAUCAAUAUUACAAAUUUACAUUGACAUCGCAGCAAGUUAUUGAGGCUGUGAAAAAUUACCCAGGUCUUCCCACCGAAGUUUCUCAGUGGGCGCACCACUAACGAUGGUUGUCGAAGUGGUGGCAAAGCUCAAUUGAAAUAUAAACGCGGCGCAAAUGGAACCCAUGUACUCGUCGUCGACGGGAGGAUCUACGAAUAUACCUCCGAUUCCGAUCAGAGGAUUAUUGGGUUCGCUCAAGCCAAAACUAAAUCCGAAUCCGAACAUCCAAUACACAACCAGACUCUAACAUUCCGAAACCUAUGGAGUUGGUAAGACAAUCAACAUAUUACGCGCGAGUAAAGAUAAAAGUGUGGUAAAAUAAAGUUAGUAAUAAGUACUUUGUACCUUGGUGAGAAAAUAAAGAGUAAUAAGUAUCUUGAUUAAACAAAAAAA